rnacentral:tRNA from 1 species
GCCUGGGUGGCUCAGUGGUUGAGUGUCUGCCUUUGGCUCAGGUCAUGAUCCUGGGGUGCGGGGAUUGAGUCCCGCAUCAGGCU